GAUGAACGCUGGCGGCGUGCCUAAUACAUGCAAGUCGAGCGAACGGACGAGAAGCUUGCUUCUCUGAUGUUAGCGGCGGACGGGUGAGUAACACGUGGAUAACCUACCUAUAAGACUGGGAUAACUUCGGGAAACCGGAGCUAAUACCGGAUGAUAUUUUGAACCGCAUGGUUCAAAAGUGAAAGACGGUCUUGCUGUCACUUAUAGAUGGAUCCGCGCUGCAUUAGCUAGUUGGUAAGGUAACGGCUUACCAAGGCAACGAUGCAUAGCCGACCUGAGAGGGUGAUCGGCCACACUGGAACUGAGACACGGUCCAGACUCCUACGGGAGGCAGCAGUAGGGAAUAUUCGGCAAUGGGCGAAAGCCUGACGGAGCAACGCCGCGUGAGUGAUGAAGGUCUUCGGAUCGUAAAACUCUGUUAUUAGGGAAGAAAAGAUGUGUAAGUAACUGUGCACAUCUUGACGGUACCUAAUCAGAAAGCAACGGCUAACUUCGUG
rnacentral:rRNA from 1 species